GAGUAUGGCUGCUCCAAGGGACAAACCCUGGAGAAUGUUUCAGGGAGACUGUGCAACAUUCUUGAACACGUCUCAUUGGGGAGUUGACACAUGACGGAAGCCAUGUGGCGACAGGAGUGUCAUUUUAAUUUGCAGAUGUCGCGAGAUGCCAUGACGAGAAGGAGUGACUGAGGGGAUCAUCCACAAGAUGGAAGCUGAGGCCAGGAGAGUCUUCAGGAGGAUCGGAGAUCACCUUCGGCACAGAGAGCUGUGCUACUGGGCUUCCAGGAGAUCGUCAUGAGGAGACUUUUGCACAGCAAAAUCUUAAAUGAGAUAAAAGAGUUUCAACGUUGACAUUGAGGAAGACAACUAAGGUGUACGACGUGCUCUGCCUUUAAAAUCUUCAGCAACGUUGAAUCAUGAGAACUUGAGGGGGCGUGCCAGGCUCCAAAAAGUGACAGCGCAGAGGAGUUCCAGCGAUGGACUUGUGGUUCUGUGAACAGCACAAAUGCCAGGUGACUGUGAAAUAACUAACAGCACUUUUUCCACAAGUGAAGCCAGUAACUUCCUAUCCUAAAAGAUUAGCUCUAGUUGCUUGUGCUUUACCUCCAUGCGUGAGAUCAGUAUGUGCAGCAGUUUAAGCUGUACAAUGUUUCAGGAAAUAGUUUUUCACCUUUUUGACACUGUUAGUUCCACACGAGGUAGAUGUCUACUACUGAAGACUAAAAUUACAUUUCUGUCACCUACAAAACGCUUGUCUUUGAUGUCACUGUUACUCUCAUAACCACAUAUUACCAUAAAGUGAUGCACAAUUCUGAAUCCGUCAACCCUUUGCUGUCAUGAUCCUGGGUCAUUUUGACCCAGCGUUUUGUGUUUCCUUGGAGUUCACUUUGUGCCUUGUGUUUAUUCUGAUUUUAUAGUAGUUUAGGGUUGAAUCUGGAGCUCAGUGUUUUAUCAGCCCUACCUGUGUCUGUCCUCGGUGCUCUGUCAUGUCCUCGUAUUGUAAAACAGUCUGUAGGUUUCCUGUUUUACUUUGAAGGCUCGUGUUCUGGAUUUCCUGUUCUGUUCUGAAGGUCUGUCUGUUAUCGUGUUCAGCUUGUAUCCCCAGGUCGUCUUGUGUAUUAGAAUCAGCUGUGCUCCCACCUGUAUGUCAUUACCUGGUCUCCUUGUUUGUGUGUGUGUGUAUAUAUAGUGGGUGUCAGUCUGUGCCUGUCGUCGGCUUGUCUGUGUAUCUCUGCGUAUCUCUGCGUUCAUCUGCGUCUCUCUGCAUUCUCCGUUUCGUAUUACUUCAGGUUUGCUCUUUAGUUUAUCCCAGUUUAGGUCUGCUUCAGUAGCUGCUCAUACUUUAUUGCCCGUUUUUGUCACCCUGCCACUGUGUAAAUAAACUCACUCAUAUCAUCAGUCGGCUGCCUGCAUUUUGGGUCCUCCUUUCAUUCCACAACACGACUGCUGCCCCAGCCGUGACAUUUGCCAACGAAAGAAGAGGGCACUUCUCAUGGGUGUAGAGACCACGUAGAGAAGGAGUGCAAGCCGAGGGAUGACUUAAUAGAUGGGCCACUUGGUGAGGGAAAGGUUUGGUUUGUUGAUGGUUUGAGUUUUACAACGGCAGAGGGACAAACUAAAACAGGUUUACUGGAGAAGAUAGUGAGAAAGUUAUCUGUGCAGGACAACUAGCAUGUUUCAUAUUUGCUUGAGCAGCAGAGAUGCUGGCUUUAAUGGAAGUGUGUAAAGCUGCAGAGAAAUAAGAUGUGACAAUAUACACUGAUAGCCAAUAUGCAUUUGCUACAUUACAUUUCUUUGUGGUGCAGUGGGUGAGACGAGGUGUGACAGCCUCUACAGGGAAACCUGUAGAACUCGCCAAACUCGUGCAAAAUCUGCUGGAGGCAGAGUUUUUACCCAGUAGAAUUGCUGUUUGUAAAUGUGUAGCACACAUGUGGGGGAAAGAUCCAGUUGCAUUAGGGAAAGCUUUUGCAGAUAAGAUCGCAAAAGAAGUAACUUUAGGAGAACAUGAUGUUAACGUUUUAGCAGUGCAACGCCAGCAGACGUUGGCUAUUAUGCGGAAUGCACUGGCAGACAUGUAUAGCCACUCACCUACUGCAGGAAAAAAAAAAUGUGAUUUACAGAAGGAGCGAGCUUGCAGGAUGGUGUUUGUUAUCUGUGUGAUAAACCAAUACUGCCUUAGAAUUUGUAUAAGACUGCUGCUACUUUGCGCCAUGGGCUUUGCCAUGUCGCAACAGGAGGGAGAUAAUGAGUAGUUUAUACUUUAAGAUUAAAUACCCUUUUAAAAAAAAUUUUGCAGGUCAUGUAUGAUAUGUUGCAAGCAUAAUUCUCGGGGUAAUUUGAGACCUAAGAGAGGGAAAUUCCCCAGACCCGGUCACCCAUUUUAAGUUAUUCACAUGGACUUUAUAGAGCUGUCCAACUGUAAUAACUAUAAGUACUGUUUAGUGAUAGUGUGUCCUUUUUCAAAGUGGGUAGAAAUCGUCCCAACUAGGGAAGCAGAUGCCAUUUCGGUUGCCAAAGCAAUAUGUAAGAAUAUCAUUUGAAACAUGGGAUUCCGGAGACCAUUUAUAGUGAUAAUGGUCCACACUUUGUAAAUGAAGUGAUUAGAUUAAUGGCACAACAUCUAGGGAUAACACUAAAAACAUCAUUGUUUAUAUCACCCACAAAGUGCAGGGUUGAUAGAGAGAACUAAUGGAAUAGUAAUGUUAAGACUUAGGAAGAGACGCAGGACAUGGUUAAACUGUAUAGAAUUAGUUAGGAGGUAUACGAAUGUACAUGAGGAUUACUCCAACAGAGAAUGGUCUGACUCGUUGAGAUUAUAUAUGUUAGAGCAUUUAGAGUUCUAGUCUUCUGUAGUGAUGAUAGGAGAGCAGAAGAGAGAGCAUAUUAGCAGAUUAGAUGCUUAAAAUGUUUAAAAAUAAAGAAGUCUUGAGAACAAAUGAUCUGCCAGAUGAUUCUGUUUCUCCACAGGAGCAGAGUCUGAAGUCUGGAGAUUGGAUGUUGAUAAGGCCAUGGAGAGGAAGUGCUGGUCCAGUCCACGGUGGGAAGGUCCAUAUCGGAUGCUGCUGACGAUGACCACAGCAGUGAAGAUUGCUGAAAGGAUUACUUGGAUACAUCAAGCGCACUGCAAGAAGGUGACACACAUCCAGGCCAGCUCGGGUCCUGGAGGCAUGACAGCCUGGGAGAGAUGUGAUGUGAAGAGCAGUGGAGGGGGCGAUGAGUGUAUGCACCCCCUGUGAACUCCAGCCAUGGCAUUUUCUGUGAGUUGGUAGAAUAUUGAUUCAGAUGCCUAUCCAGCUCAUAGAUAGAAGUGAUGAUCUGCUGAGCCCAUACGGUGCCUUCUGAUGGAAAAGUUAUGGGAUAUUAUAUGUAACCAGCAGAUCAGUCUGGACAGAAUAAAACUGCAAAAUAAUGGGACGCUACAGAGAUUUCUCACUGCCCUGACUUUGGAUAAGACACGAGGAAGACAUCGCUGUCUUUUAUUUCAAAACUCUGAAGAGAGUCUAUGUACUCUGCAGUUGUGUGACUGGAUAGAAAGUUGUAGUUCUUAUACUGGCACAGACGGUCUGCUUCGUCUUUGUUCUGAAUCACACAGAUGGAUAAGGGGAAGAGACACAGUUUGUGUAGUUCUUCACGCAAUGUGACAGCAUUCUGCAGAAUCCAAAAACAACAAUAGUUAAUGUUAAA